GAUGAACGCUGGCGGCGUGCCUAAUACAUGCAAGUCGAGCGAACGGACGAGAAGCUUGCUUCUCUGAUGUUAGCGGCGGACGGGUGAGUAACACGUGGAUAACCUACCUAUAAGACUGGGAUAACUUCGGGAAACCGGAGCUAAUACCGGAUAAUAUUUUGAACCGCAUGGUUCAAAAGUGAAAGACGGUAUUGCUGUCCCUUAUAGAUGGAUCCGCGCUGCUUUAGCUAGUUGGUAAGGUAACGGCUUACCAAGGCAACGAUGCAUAGCCGACCUGAGAGGGUGAUCGGCAACAUUGGAACGGAGACACGGCCCAGACUCUUACGGGAGGCGGCAGUAGGGAAUCUUCCGCAAUGGGCGAAAGCCUGACGGAGCAACGCCGCGUGAGUGAUGAAGGUCUUCGGAUCGUAAAACUCUGUUAUUAGGGAAGAACAUAUGUGGAAGUAACUGUGCACAUCUUGACGGUACCUAAUCAGAAAGCCACGGCUAACUACGUG
rnacentral:rRNA from 1 species